ensembl:lncRNA novel transcript, antisense to PHACTR1
AUGAGGAGGGGAACCAGUUCUGGAAUUCUGGCUCAGGGAAGGCAUAAAUGUUGGCUGACUGUCAAAUGCUUGUGGGAGGUCCCCACGGAGUGGAGAAGCGGGAGACUCAGCUUAAUCACAGACAAAGUUGUGCAUGAGAGACGGAGUCUCACUCUGUUGCCCAGGCUGGAGUUCAAUGGUGCAAUGAUCUCGGCUCACUGCAACCUCCGCCUCUUGGGUGCAAGUAACUCUCCUGCCUCAGCCUCCCGAGUAGCUGGGAUUACAGAGUCUGGAGUGAACCGAAGACUAAGCAUAAAUGCUGCAGGUCAGGGGCUGUUUCUUAUGCCUGAACAUCGCGGGGCCUUGGACACCGUCUUUCCAAAUCAAGACAGCAUAGAGCACAAGUGCUCAGAGGGAAUGAGCGAGGAUGCAGCUGGCUGCUGCCUCUCAGAGUCACAGUUGGUGCACGGACCCCAGCACUAA